rnacentral:tmRNA from 1 species
GGGGUUGUAAAGGUUUCGACACUGACUGUGAAACUUUAGAAGCUAUUCGAAGGCGGAACGCGUAAGUAGCAAAUUAAAUUAAACGCAAAUAAUAAUUUUGCAUUAGCUGCUUAAUUUAGCUAACAUCUUAUAAAUUGCACUCACACAUUUUAUAAAGAUGUCAUUUAUGUGAGAAACAGCAUAUUAAAUGUCUCUAUAAUAUGGCUGUAUUAGAGAAUAGUGUGUUUUUUAUUUUGUUAAUUGGAUUUUAAUACAUGAAUUUUAUCAAUUAACUAUGAUAGUAGAAGGAAAGUGGAUCAUUUGGUGGACAGGGGUUCGAUUCCCCUCAGCUCCAU